CCGGCGCCACGCUUACCUCGCAGUCCUCGUACUUGAUAUUAUCCGUCAAUUUCCAAAGCAUUUUCAUGGGUCGGCGUGAACGGAUUUGUCCCUCUCCGCCUCGCACCCAAGUGGAGCUACUCUCUGGCUCGGCACCAACUGCCUAAUCGCCUCAUUAGCAUAUCAACAAUAGUCCAAUUGCUCGCCAGAACCACAUUCCGCCGCCGGCCGCUCGGACUCAGGUAUAAAGGCCUCUCCAAGCCGGGACCUGGCUCCCAGAGCGCACUCCUGCCUGUUAGGGUACAAAAUCUUCCCAGAACUCCAUUCGCUCCCUGGUCCCAGUGGCCCCCACUCCGGCCCAAUUUCACUCCAGUCGGCUUCCUCUCUCUCUGCUUCCUACAGGCUAGCGAUGCCCCCACGAACGCUGGAGUAUACGGAGAGUCCGAGUAGCUGCGCCUGGGGACCCACUACCCUUGGUCACGGCCGCCGCCACUAUUCAAGUUGCCCUUUCGGCCCCGUCCAAUUUUAUUAGAUAUCACUACCCCUUUCUCAAUUAAACAUAACCACCAAACUAAAACCAGAGAAGCCACUCCAGGAUUUUUGCCCAACAAGAGAUCGCCUCCACUCAUGCCAGCUACCCCUUCGGGGCCGCGGCGUCUUGGGAGUUUUAUUGGCUUUUGCGCAUUCCCCCAGGUUGGAGAUUUUGUCAAAGGGCUCCAGGUUUGCUCGGCUGGGGUUUGCAAUCUCUUAAUUGCUAUGUGUAUAAUAAAAGUUGUACCCUGAAGAGGUUACUCGA